UACGUAGGGACCGAGCGUUGUCCGGAUUCAUUGGGCGUAAAGAGCUCGUAGGCGGCUGUUCAAGUCGAACGUGAAACUCGGAGCUCAACUCCGAGCCUGCGUUCGAUACUGGACGGCUAGAGUCUGGUAGGGGGAUCUGGAAUUCCUGGUGUAGCGGUGGAAUGCGCCAGAUAUCAGGAGGAACACCCGGUGGCGAAGGCGGGACCUGGCCAGUACUGACGCUGAGGAGCGAAAG
rnacentral:rRNA from 1 species